AGAAUGUGGAUAGUGGUUCAGUCGCCUGGCACAUCAUGUGUUUGUACUCAUCAACCAGUUUAAGAGUGCACUUCUCCACAAUUGUAGUUGUGUGCAGGGGUGAAGGUUCUGCAGUUAAUCAGAAAUAAGUUCAUAGUACAGAUGUAUCACAUUAGCGUGUAACAAGCAUGCACUGAUGCACUGCAAUUAUAUCACGACAAGCAUCAACGCAAACAGUAUUCCAUAUAAGAAUAGGGACAUGUGGAUUCUAGGAACUAUAGCAAUUAUUCCUAAGGAAAAUAACUAAAUCCUCAGUGGUUUACCGGAAUUCGAUCAAAAUAUACCCUUCCGAGUGGUCUCUAGUAAAAGCUAAGUUGCGACCCUCUACAUGUAUAGGGCAAAUCGUAUCCUUUAACUGCUGCACUCCUACAGAAUGCGAAACCUAUGAUACUCUAGACCAAGCUAAACAACAUAUCAGAACAAUCUGUUAAAGCGAUCCAUUGACUUUGGUUUCUUGCAAGCAUAGGGCAUCGUGGGCUUAAUCAACUACUUGAAAAUUUCAGGCAAAGAGCAACCAAAUUAGGGCAACCCCCAAAUCCCCAAAUUGGCAUCGCAAUUCGCGCGGACCGGAUCGGGGAUCGCCGAUCGAUCAGGACAGUCAUGGCGGCGCUACCCAAUCCGAUCCGAUCCCCCCAAAAAAGGAGAUCAGAGGGCGGCGGCGGCGAGAGAGGGAGGUCGUACCGUUCUGGAGGUAGGGGCCGUACUCGGUGGCGGUGAGGUGCAUCUUGACGUCGUCGAGGUUCUCGCACUGGCAGAGGUUGUUGUAGUCGGCGGCGGUGAGGAGGCCCGACCGGUUCCCCCGCACGAUGGCCUCCAGGAAGCCGUCGUGGAUGUUGAACGAGAGCAUCUCCCACCCG
rnacentral:lncRNA from 1 species